AUUGAACGCUGGCGGCAGGCCUAACACAUGCAAGUCGAACGAGUGGCGGACGGGUGAGUAAUGUCUGGGAAACUGCCUGAUGGAGGGGGAUAACUACUGGAAACGGUAGCUAAUACCGCAUACCCUCAGAUGUGCCCAGAUGGGAGUAGCUUGUGGGUGGGGUACAGGCUCACCUGGGCGACGAUCCCUAGCUGGUCUGAGCGGCUGACCAGCCACACGGGAACGGAGACACGGUCCAGACUCUGACGUGAGGCAGCAGUGGGGAAUAGUGCACAAUGGGCGCAAGCCUGAUGCAGCCAUGCCGCGUGUGUGAAGAAGGCCUUCGGGGUGUAAAGCACUUUCAGCGAGGAGGCGUUACGCGCAGAAGAAGCACCGGCUAACUCCGUGCCAGCCGCCGCGGUAAUAC
rnacentral:rRNA from 1 species